UAAAAUAAUUAAGGGCACACAAAGGAUGCCUUGGUAGUAAGAGCCGAUGAAGGACGUGGUAAGCUGCGAUAAGCCUAGAUAAGUUGCAAUCGAACGUAAGAGUCUAGGAUUUCCGAAUGGAGCAAUCUAUUAAGAUGGAGUCUUAAUACGAAAGAGGGAACCGCGUGAACUGAAACAUCUAAGUAACGCGAGGAAAAGAAAGUAAAAACGAUACCCAAAGUAGCGGCGAGCGAAAUGGGUCAAGCCUAAACCUUAAAUAUGUCAAGGAUACAGCCGUUGUAUUUAAGGGGUUGAGGGACAGAGUGAUGAAGAACUGUAAGAUAUUCAAUAUAGUGUAUUGAUGAACUAGAAUAGUCUGGAAAGGUUAACCGUAGAAGGUGAAAGUCCUGUAUAGGUAAAUCCUUACACAUAUAACUUUGAUCCCAAGUAACAUGGAACACGAGGAAUUCUGUGUGAAUCAGUGAGGACCAUAUCUCAUAAGGCUAAAUACUCUUACUAACCGAUAGCGCAUAGUACCGUGAGGGAAAGGUGAAAAGAACCCCUGGAGGGGAGUGAAAUAGAACCUGAAAUUGUGUGCUUACAAGCGGUCAGAGCCAGUAAUGGUGAUGGCGUGCCUUUUGGAGAAUGAUCCUGCGAGUUACGUUAAACGGCAAGGUUAAGUAUUACGGAGCCGAAGGGAAACCAAGUCUUAAUAGGGCGAUUUAGUCGUUUGGCGUAGACGCGAAACCUGGUGAUCUAAACCUGUCCAGGAUGAAGCUGUGGUAAGACACAGUGGAGGUCCUAACCCACCGCCGUUGAAAAGUUGGGGGAUGAGGUAGGUUUAGGGGUGAAAAGCCAAUCGAACCAGGAGAUAGCUCGUUCUCUCCGAAAUGCAUCUAGGUGCAGCCUUGAGUGUUCAAUUAUGGGGGUAGAGCACUGAAUGAUCUAGGGGGCAUAUUGCUUACUGAAAUCAAUCAAACUCCGAAUACCAUAAUUUAUAGCUCAGGAGUGAGACUAUGGGAGUUAACUUCCAUUGUCAAAAGGGAAACAACCCAGACCACCAGCUAAGGUCCCUAAUUAUAACUAAGUGGGAAAGGAGGUGGAGAUUCACAAACAACUAGGAGGUUGGCUUAGAAGCAGCCAUACCUUUAAAGAGUGCGUAAUAGCUCACUAGUCGAGAGUCUCUGCGCCGACAAUGUAACGGGGCUAAGUUAUAAACCGAAGCUGUGGAAUCCGUAAGGAUUGGUAGGAGAGCGUUCUGUAGGCCGUUGAAGGAGAAGGGUAACCGACUUUGGAGGUAUCAGAAGUGAGAAUGCAGGAAUAAGUAGCGAGAAAGGGGGCGAGAAUCCCCCUCGCCGGAAGACCAAGGUUUUCAGGGUAAAGCUUGUCUUCCCUGAGUAAGCCGGGACCUAAGCCCAGGCUAUAAUGCGUAGGCGAAUGGAAAACAGAUUAAUAUUUCUGUGCCAGUCAUAUAUUGUGAUGGAGGGACGCAGAAGGGUAUGCGCGCGGACGAACGGAAGUGUCCGUAGAAGUAUGUAGGAUGACUUAGUAGGAAAAUCCAUUAAGUUAUAUCUGAGGUAUGAUAUAUAGUCGUAAGAUGAAUGCGCAAAUCCCACGCUGCCAAGAAAAGCUUCUAACGUUAAUUUAUGACUGCCCGUACUGCAAACCGACACAGGUGGUCAGGAUGAGAAAUCUAAGGCGGACAGGCUAACUCUCGUUAAGGAACUCUGCAAAAUAACCUCGUAACUUCGGGAGAAGAGGAGCCCUUGGGUGUUAGUAUCCACGCGAUACAAAGCGCUCGAGGGUCGCAGUGAAGAGGCUCAAGCAACUGUUUAACAAAAACACAGGUCUAUGCUAAGCUGGAAGGCGAUGUAUAUGGGCUGACACCUGCCCAGUGCUGGAAGGUUAAGAGGAGGAGUGAGAGCUCCGAAUUGAAGCCCCAGUGAACGGCGGCCGUAACUAUAACGGUCCUAAGGUAGCGAAAUUCCUUGUCGGGUAAGUUCCGACCUGCACGAAUGGUGUAAUGAUUUGAGCGCUGUCUUGACGGGAGGCCUGGUGAAAUUGUAUUACCGGUGAAGAUACCGGUUACCUACAGUAGGACGGAAAGACCCCAUGGAGCUUUACUGUAGCUUGGUAUUGGGUUUUGGCAUUGCAUGUAUAGGAUAGUUGGGAGACUGAGAUGAUAUGGCGCUAGCUGUAUCGGAGUCAUCGGUGGAAUACCAACCAUUCAAUGCUGAAAUUCUAAUCUGUGGUUUGUAGCCACGGAGACAGUGCUAGGUGGGCAGUUUGACUGGGGCGGUCGCCUCCGAAAGAGUAACGGAGGCGUUCAAAGGUUCUCUCAGGUUGGAUGGAAAUCAACCAUAGAGUGCAAUGGCAUAAGAGAGCUUGACUGCAAGACUGACGGGUCGAGCAGAUGCGAAAGCAGGACAUAGUGAUCCGGUGGUUCUGUAUGGAAGGGCCAUCGCUCAACGGAUAAAAGGUACUCCGGGGAUAACAGGCUGAUUCCGCCCAAGAGUUCAUAUCGACGGCGGAGUUUGGCACCUCGAUGUCGGCUCAUCGCAUCCUGGGGCUGGAGAAGGUCCCAAGGGUUGGGCUGUUCGCCCAUUAAAGCGGUACGUGAGCUGGGUUCAGAACGUCGUGAGACAGUUCGGUCCCUAUCCACUGUAGGCGUUAGAAUAUUGAGAAGACCUGUCCUUAGUACGAGAGGACCGGGAUGGACAAACCUCUGAUGUACCAGUUGUCACGCCAGUGGCACAGCUGGGUAGUCACGUUUGGAAUAGAUAACCGCUGAAAGCAUCUAAGCGGGAAACUAACUUCAAGAUAAGUAUUCUUUAAGAUACCUUCGAGCCUAGGAGGUUGAUAGGUUGGGGGUGUAAGUACAGCAAUGUAUUUAGCUGACCAAUACUAAUUAUCGAAGUUUUAAUCUA
rnacentral:rRNA from 1 species